rnacentral:rRNA from 1 species
UACGAAGGGGGCUAGCGUUGCUCGGAAUGACUGGGCGUAAAGAGCGCGCAGGCGGCUUGGUAAGUCGGAUGUGAAAUCCCGAGGCUCAACCUCGGGUCUGCAUCCGAUACUGCCCGGCUAGAGGUAGGUAGGGGAGAUCGGAAUUCCUGGUGUAGCGGUGAAAUGCGCAGAUAUCAGGAGGAACACCGGUGGCGAAGGCGGAUCUCUGGGCCUUACCUGACGCUCAGGCGCGAAAGCUAGGGGAGCGAACUGG